AUUGAACGCUGGCGGUAGGCCUAACACAUGCAAGUCGAACGAGUGGCGGACGGGUGAUGAAUGUCUGGGAAACUGCCCGAUGGAGGGGGAUAACUACUGGAAACGGUAGCUAAUACCGCAUACAAUCGGAUGUGCCCAGAUGGGAUUAGCUAGUGGGGGGGGUAACGGCUCACCGAGGCGACGAUCCCUAGCUGGUCUGAGAGGAUGACCAGCCACACUGGAACUGCGACACGGUCCAGACUCCUACGUGAGGCAGCAGUGGGGAAUAUUGCACAAUGGGCGCAAGCCUGAUUCAGCCAUGCCGCGUGUAUGAAGAAGGCCUUCGGUUUGUAAAGUACUUUCAGCGAGGAGGCGUUACUCGCAGAAGAAGCACCGGCUAACUCCGUGCCAGCAGCCGCGGUAAUAC
rnacentral:rRNA from 1 species